rnacentral:lncRNA from 1 species
AAGGAAUUAAGAAUAGUUGUGCCCAGUAAGCCUGAAUCCCAAAGAUAACUGAUUGAACCAGCUGAGUUCUGCCAGCAUAUGAUAGGUGCCUGGCAGUCCAGGAAGUAAUCCUGGCAGAGACUUUGUCAACCAGUGGCUGCCAUUGCAAAACAGUCAACUUCUUGGUAGUCAAAGGUACUCCCAAAUACUUAAAAGGAAGUUCUCCACGUACAUAUCC